UACGUAGUUGGCGAGCGUUAUCCGGAAUUACUGGGCGUAAAGGGCACGCAGGCGGCCAUUCAAGUCUGACGUGAAAGCUCCUGGCUUAACUGGGAGAGGUCGUUGGAGACUGAGUGGCUUGAGGCGAUGAGAGGGGUGCGGAAUUCCCGGUGUAGUGGUGGAAUGCGUAGAUAUCGGGAGGAACACCAGUGGCGAAAGCGGCGCCCUAGCAUUGGCCUGACGCUCAUGUGCGAAAGCGUGGGGAGCGAACGGGAUUAGAUA
rnacentral:rRNA from 1 species